CAGAGGUGUGCAAGGGAAAAUUCUGGCAGCCAAGUAUGCAAGAGAGAAUAGAGUUCCAUUCCUUGGCAUUUGCCUGGGAAUGCAAAUUGCAGUCAUUGAAUUUGCACGAUCUAUUCUUGGUUUGCUAGAUGCUAACAGCACGGAAUUUGAUCCUAACACUAAGAAUCCCUGUGUCAUCUUUAUGCCUGAGGGCUCUAAAACCCAUAUGGGAGGCACCAUGCGUCUUGGGUCAAGGAGGACAUAUUUCCAAGUCAUGGAAUGCAAAUCUGCUAAAUUAUGUGGUAAUAGAAGUUUUAUUGAUGAGAGACAUCGGCAUA
rnacentral:misc_RNA from 1 species